GAUGAAGAACGCAGUGAAAUGCGAUACUUGGUGUGAAUUGCAGAAUCCCGUGAACCAUCGAGUCUUUGAACGCAAGUUGCGCCCGAAGCCACUAGGCCGAGGGCACGCCUGCCUGGGCGUCACACGCCGUUGCCCCCCCAUCUACUCCUUCGGGAUUGCGGGGGGGCGGAUGAUGGCCUCCCGUGCGCCUAGCCGCGCGGUUGGCAUAAAUACCAAGUCCUCGGCGACGCACGCCACGACAAUCGGUGGUUGCGAAACCUCGGUUGCCCGUCGUGUGCGUUCGUCGCGCAUCGAGGGCUCGAAAAAAUGCUCGGCUCCGGCUGGGCUUUCAACGCGACCCCAGGUCAGGCGGGGUUACCUGCUGAAUUUAAGCAUAUCAAUAAGCGGAGGA
rnacentral:misc_RNA from 1 species